ACUCCUACGGGAGGCAGCAGUGGGGAAUAUUGCACAAUGGGCGCAAGCCUGAUGCAGCGACGCCGCGUGGGGGAUGACGGCCUUCGGGUUGUAAACUCCUUUCGCUAGGGACGAAGCGCAAGUGACGGUACCUGGAGAAGAAGCACCGGCUAACUACGUGCCAGCAGCCGCGGUAAUACGUAGGGUGCGAGCGUUGUCCGGAAUUACUGGGCGUAAAGAGCUCGUAGGUGGUUUGUCGCGUCGUUUGUGUAAGCCCGCAGCUUAACUGCGGGACUGCAGGCGAUACGGGCAUAACUUGAGUGCUGUAGGGGAGACUGGAAUUCCUGGUGUAGCGGUGGAAUGCGCAGAUAUCAGGAGGAACACCGAUGGCGAAGGCAGGUCUCUGGGCAGUAACUGACGCUGAGGAGCGAAAGCAUGGGUAGCGAACAGGAUUAGAUACCCUGGUAGACUGUCAU
rnacentral:rRNA from 1 species